rnacentral:rRNA from 1 species
UACGGGGGGGGCAAGCGUUGUUCGGAAUUACUGGGCGUAAAGCGCACGCAGGCGGUCUGUCAAGUCGGAUGUGAAAUCCCCGGGCUCAACCUGGGAACUGCAUUCGAAACUGGCAGGCUAGAGUCUUGUAGAGGGGGGUAGAAUUCCAGGUGUAGCGGUGAAAUGCGUAGAGAUCUGGAGGAAUACCGGUGGCGAAGGCGGCCCCCUGGACAAAGACUGACGCUCAGGUGCGAAAGCGUGGGGAGCAAACAGG